AGCUUAAGCCGGUUUUAAGCAGUUCAUUGUUCUUGUGUGUUAAUUGGUGUUAUUAUACACCCUAAUGGCAUUGAACACCGGAUUGAGAUCAUUAUCUUCCAAAUUGAUUGCUUCUGUCUAUUCUUCUCUCGCUAAAUCUGUCAUAUUAAGAGAGAUGAUCCCUCUUACAUCAACACAAAUGCUCUGGUCAAGUGAAAAUUGGACAAUGGGUUCAAAAAGUGGCUGCCUA